ACGAGCGCUGGCGGCGUGCCUAAUACAUGCAAGUUGAGCGCUGAAGGUUGGUACUUGUACCGACUGGAUGAGCAGCGAACGGGUGAGUAACGCGUGGGGAAUCUGCCUUUGAGCGGGGGACAACAUUUGGAAACGAAUGCUAAUACCGCAUAAAAACUUUAAACACAAGUUUUAAGUUUGAAAGAUGCAAUUGCAUCACUCAAAGAUGAUCCCGCGUUGUAUUAGCUAGUUGGUGAGGUAAAGGCUCACCAAGGCGAUGAUACAUAGCCGACCUGAGAGGGUGAUCGGCCACACUGGGACGGAGACACGGCCCAAACUCCUACGGGAGGCAGCAGUAGGGAAUCUUCGGCAAUGGACGAAAGUCUGACCGAGCAACGCCGCGGGAGUGAAGAAGGUUUUCGGAUCGUAAAACUCUGUUGGUAGAGAAGAACGUUGGUGAGAGUGGAAAGCUCAUCAAGUGACGGUAACUACCCAGAAAGGGACGGCUAACUACGUG
rnacentral:rRNA from 1 species